rnacentral:rRNA from 1 species
CAAGUCGAGCGAGAAAGGGGCUUCGGCUCCGAGUAAAGCGGCGGACGGGUGCGUAACACGUGGAUAAUCUGCCUCGUGGCGGGGGACAACAGUCCGAAAGGACUGCUAAUACCGCAUGUCAGGUCGGAAACUCCGGUUCUGACGAAAAAGAGAGCGCCCGCAAGGGGCUCUCACCACGAGAUGAGUCCGCGUCCCAUCAGCUAGUUGGCGGUGUAAUAGACCACCAAGGCUUAGACGGGUAGCUGGUCUGAGAGGAUGACCAGCCACACUGGGACUGAGACACGGCCCAGACUCCUACGGGAGGCAGCAGUGGGGAAUAUUGGACAAUGGGCGAAAGCCUGAUCCAGCCAUGCCGCGUGAGUGAUGAAGGCCUUCGGGUCGUAAAGCUCUGUGGGGAGGGACGAAAAAGCGUGACCUAAUACGUCUCGCCUUGACGGUACCUCCUUAGCAAGCACCGGCUAACUCCGUGCCAGCAGCCGCGGUAAUACGGAGGGUGCAAACGUUGCUCGGAAUUAUUGGGCG